rnacentral:rRNA from 1 species
GUCGAACGCUGGCGGCGUGCUUAACACAUGCCAGUCGAACGGAAAGGCCCUGCUUUUGUGGGGUGCUCGAGUGGCGAACGGGUGAGUAACACGUGAGUAACCUGCCCUUGACUUUGGGAUAACUUCAGGAAACUGGGGCUAAUACCGGAUAGGAGCUCCUGCUGCAUGGUGGGGGUUGGAAAGUUUCGGCGGUUGGGGAUGGACUCGCGGCUUAUCAGCUUGUUGGUGGGGUAGUGGCUUACCAAGGCUUUGACGGGUAGCCGGCCUGAGAGGGUGACCGGCCACAUUGGGACUGAGAUACGGCCCAGACUCCUACGGGAGGCAGCAGUGGGGAAUAUUGCACAAUGGGCGGAAGCCUGAUGCAGCAACGCCGCGUGCGGGAUGACGGCCUUCGGGUUGUAAACCGCUUUCGCCUGUGACGAAGCGUGAGUGACGGUAAUGGGUAAAGAAGCACCGGCUAACUACGUG